CGACCUUUCAAAUGCUCCAAAGCGGAUCGGAAAAACUCUUUUUCCGGUUUCCCAACGACAACCGCUUUUUCACCCGUGGAGUAUUCCAAUCCGGUUACAAAACCUCCUAUUGUAAAACAGCAUCUGAAGGGUUGGCAAUUUGUUGAGAGAGGUUGUACACCCGAUAGUUGGAACCGUGAUGCUUGUUGAGAAAUGCGGACACUUCCCGAAUUGGAUUCCGAUACCAAGACAUGAUUCCUGAACUGGGGAAGCUCAUGGCGAUGAUCCUUGAGGUGACAUAGGCGAAUGAGCCGAAUGAGCCGAAGGAAUCGGAAGAUCCUCAUGAGAACCAGGACCUUGGUGAAAUUCAAAAAUUCAAUAUCUUCCUCGGGAUCACAGCUUCCGUUGGGAAAAGCUCCAUUUGCAAUGGAAUUUUCUAUGACAAUGGUGUAAACAAGAGAAAUGGAGCACGUGGCCAGGACGAUGACAAAAUCUGAUAUGUUGAACCAAUGCUUCCAAGAGAAGAACACUGCCAAGAGAAGACAAAUGGUAUUGUAUUUUCUUAAAACGAACAUUUAUUGGGAUAAAAAAGGCCCCAAGUUAUUUUUCACCUUUGGGACUGAGUGCGAAUAUGCGGAUCCCAACCUCGAGAAAGAAAAUGGACGAGAUUCCGAGUUCAAUGAACUCAAUGAUGCGAGACGUCAGGGUUGGUGGGCAAUCGAUGAUAAUAUCCGUGACUAUAAGGAAGCUAUCCACAAUGACCAGGACGAAGCUGAACAAUCGGAAAAGUAGGGAUUGGAUCACAAACCGGAGGGUGCACCAUCGGAUGUAGUUGCAAUUGCAGCCUAAAACAAAGCAAUGAUCGAUUCCAAUUCAACGAGCCACAUCCCAAUUGAGAUCCCAAGGGCCAGAGAGAAUGAGGGCGAUGAGGCCCGUCGCUUUACCUUUGUGAGGCGGUUUACUCGGAUCAUUGAACGAGCUGAUAUCUUCGGCCUCGAG